UACGUAGGGGGCAAGCGUUGUCCGGAUUUAUUGGGCGUAAAGAGCGUGUAGGCGGCCAAGUAGGUCCGUUGUGAAAACUCGAGGCUCAACCUCGAGACGCCGAUGGAAACCAUUUGGCUAGAGUCCGGAAGAGGAGAGUGGAAUUCCUGGUGUAGCGGUGAAAUGCGCAGAUAUCAGGAAGAACACCCGUGGCUAAGGCGGCUCUCUGGGCCUUACCUGACGCUGAGGAGCGAAAGCGUGGGUAGCGAACAGG
rnacentral:rRNA from 1 species